GGCUGGUCUAAGAGCAGUAGUGUUUACAACUAAUCGAUCACAACUAAUUACAGAUUCCUUUGUUCUUUCUACAUUCCCAUUGCUUCACUUGACUAGCCUAAA
ensembl:misc_RNA Y_RNA Y RNA